UACGAAGGGGGCUAGCGUUGCUCGGAAUUACUGGGCGUAAAGCGCACGUAGGCGGCUUUCUAAGUCGGGGGUGAAAUCCUGGAGCUCAACUCCAGAACUGCCUUUGAUACUGAGGAUCUUGAGUACGGGAGAGGUGAGUGGAACUGCGAGUGUAGAGGUGAAAUUCGUAGAUAUUCGCAAGAACACCAGUGGCGAAGGCGGCUCACUGGCCCGUUACUGACGCUGAGGCACGAAAGCGUGGGGAGCAAACAGG
rnacentral:rRNA from 1 species